AUCUACAAAUGUUUCUUUGAAUUCUUGAAUGCUCUAUCCUGUGCCAGUGAAAGAUGUUUUUCUUUAAAGAUCUUAGCAGUGACUGACAUAUCACUGUUUGAGCAGAUGAUCCUGAGAAAGUAACCAAAGCCAUUUACAGAACAGGCGUUUCUGUAACUUGGGCCCUUUACGGAAGUAAGCCAGUGGGCUUGCGUGUUGUUUGAAGACUGGGCUUAUCUUUGUUCAGUGUUUUGCUUUGAGAGCACGACUGACUUUGAGUUUCAUCUGCACUCUGUGACCAAUUGUGAGACAGACCCAAAGUCUGAAGUUUGUGUUGACUUUAGAAAGUCAUUCUCUGAAGCCUUUUUUUGGAAUGAGUUUAAAGAAGGAAGAGUACCAAAAGCCAGGUCCAGUCUUGUAGUGGAUGUUUUGGAAAGAAAGGAUCAUGGUUCUCUGGGACCAUCAGAGUGGAUCAGAUUACAUUCUAAUGUAAUGAUGAAAACAAAGAACAAUAAAUCAGAGGGACUCUAAAACAUCCUAAAAUCUUCCCUCAGGCAAAUAAUACCAAAUCUUCGAGGGUGGAUAAUUGUUUUCUCUCCAUUUUCUUUUUUCUUUUUCCUUGCAGAUUGACAGAAUUAAAAAUUUGACAAGCCCCAUCAGUGGUUCAUUUAAGUGUUUUGGUAUACAGGUGAUUAGAAACUAUAAAAUCUCUUCUGCUUUAUUUUAAAGCUAUUGUCUUGCUCAGACUGCGUAAUUUAAAGGCAACUGUGUUAAUGUCUGUGGUGAAAAAUUUCUGAUCCUAAAAGUCAUGGACAAAAAGGGGGCAUUUGCCUACCUAGUGUCAAGGAGCUUAAACUGUAAUCAGAAGUCCAUGCAUUAUUGUUUUAUUCAAAUGUAAAGGGAAGAUGAAUGCUCAAGAUACCGCAAAGGAUCUUCUUAAAAUAUGCAAUUUGUGUGACUCUUGCUGAGUCAGAUGAGUGGGUGAUGCUGGGCAGAGCUGUAGAAGAAAACUGACUUUCAGCAAGGAAUAAGAAUCCAUGCUAAACAGUACAGAAGUGAGGCUGAGAAUAUGCUCAAGGAGAGUGCGGUGGUUGGAAUGUUUGUCCCUUCCAAAACUCACGUUCACAUUUAAUCCCCAGUGUGGCAGUAUUGAGAGGUAGAAUCUUUAAGAGGUGAUUGGGUCAUGAGGGCUUUGCCCUCAUGAAUUGAUUAAUCCACUCAUGGAUUAAUGGAUUAACGGGUUAGUGGAUUAAUGGGUUGUCAUGGGAGUGGGGCUUGUGGCUCUGUAAGAAGAGAAAGAGAGAGCAACACUCAGCCCCCUCGCCAUGUGAUGCCCUGCACUGCCUCGGAGUUUGCAGAGACUCACGACCAGCAAGAAGGCUCUCACCAGAUACCGUCUCUCAACCUUGGACUUCCCAGUAUCCAGAACUGUAAGAAAUAAAUUUCAUUUCUUUAUAAGUUAUCCAGUUUCAGGUAUUCUAUAAGCAACAGAAAAUGGACUAAAACAGAGAGGGAAGCCUCUGGAAGGGGGAAGCCUGAGUGGUUAAGUGCUGUAGCCUAGAAUCAUGUAUAGAAAAGGAUUCUGGGAAAUGUAGUUCCCCUUAACCAAAUGCUAACAGUACAAACUGCAGUUGUGCAGUUAAGUAUGUGUUUGUACUUAUUUGUUAUACUGGAAACAGGAGAGAUAUUUGUAAUUAUUUCUGCUUAAAAGAUAUCAGAAUAGUUAUUUACUAUUCAGACUGGUAUGUCUGCAAUUCAACUGCUGAAUAUUUGAUUUUUUUCUUUGUCCAUGAAAUGAAAACACAAUACCCUUGACAAGAAC
rnacentral:lncRNA from 1 species